rnacentral:RNase_P_RNA from 2 species
CGAGACAGCUGGGUGAUCGCGGCGCGUGGGACCGGCCACCUUGUGUGGCGAGGCCAGGCGCGGAGGAAAGUCCGGACUCCACAGGGCACGGUGGUUGCUAACGGCAACCCGGGGUGACCCGCGGGCUAGUGCCACAGAAAACAGACCGCCCGUUGCUUUGGCGCGGGUAAGGGUGAAAAGGUGCGGUAAGAGCGCACCAGCAUCCCAGGUGACUGGGGUGGCUUGGUAAACCCCACCGGGAGCAAGGUCAAGUGCUUGCAUUGCGUGUUCAUUUGGGCGCGCAGUGCGUGCGAAUUCGAGGGCGGCCCGCCCGCAUGAUGAAUAGGUAGACCGCUUGAGGCCACCAGCGAUGGUUGGCACAGAUGGAUGAUCACCUCGCCCGCACCCGUGGUGCGGGUAGACAGAAUCCGGCUCACAGGCUGUCUCGACUU